ACACUCCUACGGGAGGCAACAGUGGGGAAUAUUGGACAAUGGGCGCAAGCCUGAUCCAGCCAUGCCGCGUGAGUGAUGAAGGCCCUAGGGUUGUAAAGCUCUUUCACCGGUGAAGAUAAUGACGGUAACCGGAGAAGAAGCCCCGGCUAACUUCGUGCCAGCAGCCGCGGUAAUACGAAGGGGGCUAGCGUUGUUCGGAUUUACUGGGCGUAAAGCGCACGUAGGCGGACUAUUAAGUCAGGGGUUAAAUCCCGGGGCUCAACCCCGGAACUGCCUUUGAUACUGGUAGUCUUGAGUUCGAGAGAGGUGAGUGGAAUUCCGAGUGUAGAGGUGAAAUUCGUAGAUAUUCGGAGGAACACCAGUGGCGAAGGCGGCUCACUGGCUCGAUACUGACGCUGAGGUGCGAAAGCGUGGGGAGCAAACAGGAUUAGAAACCCUAGUAGUCC
rnacentral:rRNA from 1 species